rnacentral:rRNA from 1 species
UACGUAGGGGGCAAGCGUUGUCCGGAUUUAUUGGGCGUAAAGAGCGUGUAGGCGGCCUGACAAGUCUGCUGUGAAAACUCGAGGCUCAACCUCGAGAUGUCGGCGGAAACUGUCUGGCUAGAGUCCGGAAGAGGAGAGUGGAAUUCCUGGUGUAGCGGUGAAAUGCGCAGAUAUCAGGAAGAACACCUAUGGCGAAGGCAGCUCUCUGGGACGGUACUGACGCUGAGACGCGAAAGCGUGGGAGCGAACAGG